AACAGCCUGGGAUGUGCGACACCCUACAUUUUUGAACCUACAUUUACUUUUAUGGGAUUCUUAUAUUUGGAGGCAGAUGUCAAGCCACCAGUACCGCAAGGUACGCGAGCAGUGGAAGGCAGAAACCGACAUGCGGUUACCCACCUAGCUAUAGCUAGGAGUCAAAAACGUAGGAAACGGCAUUUUGGGUGAUAC
rfam:Roseburia hominis A2-183, complete genome.